rnacentral:misc_RNA from 1 species
UCCGGUUUGUCACCGGCAGUCUCCCUAGAGUUCCCACCAUUAUGUGCUGGCAACUAAGGACAAGGGUUGCGCUCGUUACGGGACUUAACCCAACAUCUCACGACACGAGCUGACGACAGCCAUGCAGCACCUGUCUUACGGUUCCCGAAGGCACCAAUCCAUUUCUGGAAAGUUCCGUAGAUGUCAAGACCAGGUAAGGUUCUUCGCGUUGCAUCGAAUUAAACCACAUGCUCCACCGCUUGUGCGGGCCCCCGUCAAUUCCUUUGAGUUUCAGCCUUGCGGCCGUACUCCCCAGGCGGGGUGCUUAACGCGUUAGCUGCGACACUGACGGGGUCGAUACUCCAUACUAACAGUAUCCAUCGUUUACGGCGUGGACUAC